ACCUCCCUCUGGCCAAUUAGCGUCCGGAACCCGCCGGACCUCAAGCCAAUAGGCACUCUGCUCAUGAAGCCCCGCCCCCUGGUCCCAAAACGGGUGGGGAGCUCCAGGAAGCGCUGAAAGAGCUGAUUUGCGGUGACGGGCAAACUCUGGGGCGGGACUUCCGGGGAAGUCUGAGACAGCGGUGUCGGGAGGUGUAGUGGGAAGGAAAGGACACGUCAGCAUCUGGCCGAGGGGCGCGGGGAGCCAUGGGAGCACCGAAGGCGGGGCCGGCCUCGCCCUCCUGCCUGGCCCCGCCCCUGCCCCGCCCCCUCGGGCGGCCGAGUGCCCACGUGGAAGAGUUGCACGCCGGAACUGAAGAACCCGGCCUUCGGUCCUAGAGCCCGGGAGGCCGAGUCCCGAAGGAAUCUCAGAGCCGACUACUCUCGGAGUUCCGACGUUUCACCUCUGCAGAGUAGAGGGAACUUUGGAAAGUCGCAGUCCCUGGGCAACCUGCUGAUGUCAAAUCUUGACCCGGAAAACGGCCGCGGAUCUUUACCGCUGGGGUCUAAUGCUUGUGAGUUCCACUAAUGUUCGUUGGUGAGAAGGGAUGGCGCGUCCUGUUCACUGUGAAAGACCUCGAUUUCCGACUCCUUCCCUACUGCUCCAGCUGAGCUUAGGAAAAGAAAAGCCUUGGGAUGUGCCACCCCAGAGCUGGGCAGGCAACCCCUGACCUCACUCCUACCUAACUUGAGCUGUUUAGUGAACAGCACCUCAAAAUGGUUCAGCAGCUGAAGGUGUCUGCAUGCAAGCGUGACAGCCUGAGUUCAGUCACUAGGAUCUACAUGGUGGAAUGAGAAAAGAACUCUUACAAGUUGUGCUCUGACUCCUCAUGCAAACUGUGACAUGCGUGUGUGUGCACACACAAACACAUACAUAAAUAAAUUUAAAUUUUUUUAGUGA